UGUAAACGUUUGCAUGACGUAAAGAGACAAUCUCUGUACUCUAGAUAUACCCUGUUUUUCCUCUGAAUAAUCUAUCCUUCUGAACAACAUCUUUAUCAAAGUAGCCAGGGGGUCAUGCGAGAUUACCGUUGACUUCUGCUUCUGUCUUUAUUUUUUGUAAAGCAAACAGCGAUUGGAAGGCUAUUAGAAUUUCAUCAUGCAAAAACGAAGGAAGCCAGAGCCGAUCCAGCUGAACCCGAUUCCAGAUGGGAACGCUAUAAACGGAACCGGGGCCACAGAAACAAAUCUAGAAGCUCUGCAAAAGAAGCUAGAGGAACUGGAGCUUGAUGAGCAGCAAAAGAAGCGCCUGGAGGCUUUUCUCACCCAGAAGCAGAAGGUUGGAGAGUUAAAAGAUGAUGACUUUGAGAAGAUUUGUGAGUUGGGUGCAGGCAAUGGAGGGGUUGUCUUCAAGGUCUUACACAGACCCUCAGGCCUCAUCAUGGCCAGAAAGUUGAUUCACCUAGAGAUCAAGCCAGCAAUAAGAAAUCAGAUCAUCAGAGAGCUGCAGGUGCUGCAUGAAUGUAACUCACCAUACAUAGUGGGCUUCUAUGGGGCUUUCUACAGUGACGGAGAGAUCAGCAUCUGUAUGGAGCACAUGGACGGUGGCUCCCUGGACCAGUCCUUGAAGAAAGCAGGCAAGAUCCCAGAGCAAAUACUGGGCAAAGUUAGCAUUGCGGUGAUAAAAGGCCUGUCCUAUCUGCGGGAGAAACACAAAAUCAUGCACAGAGAUGUAAAGCCAUCCAACAUCCUGGUGAACUCGCGCGGUGAAAUCAAGUUGUGUGACUUCGGUGUGAGCGGACAGCUUAUUGACUCCAUGGCCAAUUCGUUUGUGGGCACCAGAUCUUAUAUGUCUCCAGAACGUCUUCAAGGGACUCACUAUUCUGUCCAGUCUGACAUAUGGAGUAUGGGUCUCUCUCUGGUGGAGAUGGCCAUCGGACGCUUCCCUAUCCCACCACCAGAUGCAAAGGAGCUGGAGCAAAUCUUUGGUCAGCCCCUCGAGGGUGACCCAUCGGUCAGCGAGGCCUCCCCUAAACCCAGGCCCCCUGGUCGACCCGGCAGCUCAUACGGUCCAGACAGCAGACCUCCUAUGGCUAUAUUUGAGCUUCUUGACUAUAUUGUCAAUGAACCACCUCCCAAGCUGCCAAGCAUAUUUGGUGCAGAAUUUCAAGACUUUGUUAACAAGUGUUUAAUCAAAAAUCCAGCGGAAAGGGCAGACCUUAAGCAGCUGAUGACACAAGAACAUCAGUGAGGUCAGGCAUGGAUGUUGGACAGGGGGGCCUGAAUCACAGUCGGCAUUCCAGUUUAUUCCAAAGGUGUUCAAGCCUGGGUUUUGUGAGGGUCCAUACCUUCAUAAAGAACUCUGAGGCAGAGGAGGUUGACUUUGCUGGAUGGCUAUGCAGCACCAUUGGGCUAAACCAACCAGCAACUCCAACUCACAGUGUGGGAAUGUGAGAACAAUCAUCUUUUUCAAAGCCAACUAUUGAAGCAUUCCUACCAUCUACAGCGUUUCUCCGCCGGCACUGAUUCCUACCUGCCAAUCAAUCCAGAGGCUGACAGCAAACUACCGCUUCCUAAAACCUCCCCAUCUUAUUUUAGAUGUUGUCUUGAGUAUUAUCAUGAGAUGUAUACAGCUGUAACAGUGUGCCACACCUUUGUUAGUAUACUUGAAUUCUGUUCUGCCAACUAUUGUCUAACAUCUUUGUCACAUCCAGAGGGUUUUGGCUAUACACGAGAUUGUUACAAUAUUUUCAAAGCACUUACAUUAUUAUUACAAAUCAAAGUUUUUAACUACAUGCUGAUAUUGGGAAGUGAAGGGAUAGUUCACCCCAAAAAGCCAUUUACCUACCCUCCCUCAUGUGUACACAAAUCCUUGAGUUGUUUUCUUCCUCGGAAAAUAUUUACUAAUGCUGACUGUGCAGCUCUUUUUCAUACAAGUAAAUGGGGACUGAGGCUAUCAGAACCCAACAUUUUGCCAAAGAAAUCAAGUCAUACAGGUUUGGAACAGCAUCAGGGAGGCUAAACAAAAUUUUCAUGGUUGAACUAUUUCACCUCAAGUUACUUCAAGAAGUUUAAAGCAAAGGAUUCCCCUCUAAUUGUCAAUCGGUUAUGAUAGUGAUGUUAUGACUUUUUUCAAUGUCUGUGGCUACAUUAACAAUUAGCUACCCCUUUGAGUGGUUACUUUGUUUCACUGUAAUGUUUUGUGUUCUGCUUUAUCCCAUUCCAAAUAUGAUGAAUCUGCAGCCUAUAACUCACAACGGGAGCAUAAAUCAGUCAUUUAACUUAUACAAACUUGUAUAUUAAAAUAAAAGGUUUAUUUAACAGAUGAAAA